GACGAACGCUGGCGGCGUGCUUAACACAUGCAAGUCGAACGAAGAGCGAUGGAAGCUUGCUUCUAUCAAUCUUAGUGGCGAACGGGUGAGUAACGCGUAAUCAACCUGCCCUUCAGAGGGGGACAACAGUUGGAAACGACUGCUAAUACCGCAUACGAUCUAAUCUCGGCAUCGAGGAUAGAUGAAAGGUGGCCUCUACAUGUAAGCUAUCACUGAAGGAGGGGAUUGCGUCUGAUUAGCUAGUUGGAGGGGUAACGGCCCACCAAGGCGAUGAUCAGUAGCCGGUCUGAGAGGAUGCACGGCCACAUUGGGACUGAGACACGGCCCAGACUCCUACGGGAGGCAGCAGUGGGGAAUCUUCCGCAAUAGACGAAAGUCUGACGGAGCAACGCCGCGUGAGCGAUGACGGCCUUCGGGUUGUAAAGCUCUGUUAAUCGGGACGAAAGGCCUUCUUGCGAAUAGUGAGAAGGAUUGACGGUACCGGAAUAGAAAGCCACGGCUAACUACGUG
rnacentral:rRNA from 1 species